rnacentral:tRNA from 5 species
GCCCGAGUGGCGGAAUGGUAGACGCAGCGGAUUCAAAAUCCGCCGGAGCAAUCCAUGCCGGUUCGAGUCCGGCCUCGGGUACCA